CCAGCCCUAGUUUUUCUGCCAAGGAGAUCCAUCUCGCUCCAAGCUCAAAGAUGUGGGAGUGUCACUGGCACAAGAACCACUCUGCGAUUAAUGCACAGUGACAAUAUCGAAGACGUUUUGAACAGCUUAUCAAAUAUGAUCCAAAGAGAGCCAAGCCAGAAUGAUCCUGAUUUAAGAAUAAGGAUUGAAGGAUGUGAAGAAACUGCCCAAGAGGUGCAAGGCUGUCUGUGUCCCUCUCUUCCUGGAUGGUGGACCCUGUCUGUCCAACUCUGUGUCCUAUUGAUAUGUCGCAGUUCUAAUAUCCUUCAGCCACCCAAUAAAUACUUAAUGAAAAUACAGUAAGGAGAUGUCACAGAAACAAUCUUACGUGUGUGUGUGUGUGUGUGUGUGUGUAUGUAUGUUAUGCACAUGUGUGCACAUGCACUUGUUAGUCUUUGCAUAUGUGGAGGCCAGAGGUUGACAGCAGGAGGCUUCCUCUAUGGCUCUCCACUUUAUUUUUUGAGACUGGAUCUCUCACUGAAUGCGGCACUUAUGUCAUCUAGCCUGGCUGGUAAGCAAGACCCUGGGGUCUCCUGGGUACUCUAGCACCCAGCAAAGCACCAGGGAUGCUGGGGAUGUUCAUGGGUGGAUGGGGAUGCAAACUCGGGUCCUGAUGUGCAUGUGCAGCAAGCACUUUAACCAGGAAGCCACCUCCCUAUCCCACAUUUCUAUUUUGUCUAGUAUAUUUCUUUGACAGUGAGAACGAAUAACUACCGUUGUUUGCAUUUUGUUCAUUUAUUCAGCCUAGCCAUUUUUUUUUCUGAAUCCAAAAAUGCUCACUGUGUACAAAGCACUAGUAGAUCUGUUCGUGACGUUACACUUCAGCAUGAAAUCGGCACUCGGGUGCGAGUCUCCAGCUUUAAGAUACUAACAGUGCCCAUCCUGUGAUGGUGACCAUUUCCCUCUCCACAUGGAUGCCUUGAGUGUGGAGUUGUCUGACAUAAUCCUCCCAUUUUCCAUGUAAUGACACUUUAGAAUAUGCUGUGUGUAGGUCUUAUUUAAUGUCAUCAGAUCAAGUUUAAAUUAGUAUGGCA